GGGAGGAGGGCAGCGGGACCGCCAGCUGGGAAACAGGAGACGCUCGCCAGGGCGUGCCAGACCCCGACUCGCAGACACAGGACCUCCCCCGCCCCGGAGCCCACGGCCUAUCUCCCGAGACAGGUGCUCACGCAGGGAGUAGGGGGGUCAGUCCCCGACGCGGGGCCCCUGAGGCUGGCCGCACUGUUGGCGUGUGCCCUGCCCCAGGCUCCCUGUUAGCUCCAGAAGGGUCCAGACUCUGCAGGGCUGGCCAGGUGGGCGAGUGGGUGCCCCCUUUGACAGCAGCCGCUGGUGGGAGACGUGGAGCCCUGAAGCAGGAAGAAAACGCGAGCCCGCGUGGAGAGGGAGGGGUGGUGAGAUAGCAGGGACUGGAGCUGAGAGCCCGGGGCCCUGGGUGGGAGGGGCCCACCGGAGGAAUGUCGCUGUGUGUGUCCCUAGAAGUCUCAACCCAGCAGUUAACCACGGGGGAGGCAGGAUACAGGCCCAGAGAAGUGGCAUGACUUGCUCUAGAAGAUCACGGAACCAGGAUGCUGGAGAGGCAGGGCUGGACCCUCGCAAGGAGCGUUUCCAGGAGCAGACUUGACCAACGCCCGAACCAAGAGGCUGAAAAGUGAUGGAAAGGACCUCAAAGACUAUCAAGUUCCAUCCUCCCAUUUUCCGGAAGAAAGUCCAACCUGAAAGCCAAAGAUGCAAGUGAGGGUCUCAACACCACAUGGCUAUGAAGGAAAGAGCGCUAAGAAGCAUAUUUAUACUGAAGCUCCGAUUGAAGUUGUUCUUUUAUCCAGCCUGCGUCACUCCUUUGUACGCACACCUGGCCCUGUGACACUAAGUUGGGAGCCCUGUUCUAACCUCUGUUAUCAUCACACAGCACCAGAGGGAGAGGAGGGCUGCCAGGCUGCAUUUGCAACCAGUCCCUCUGUGCAUCGGUACAGAAAGGCCAGAACUAUGAGAGGAUAAGAAGCAUGGCAUCGAGAACAUGGUCAAUAAUAUUGGAAUAACCUUGAAUGGUGACAGAUGGUGGCCACACUUACCGUGGUCAGCAUUUCAUAGUGUAUAGAAUUGUCUAUACUGUGUUGUACACCCUGAAACUAAUAUACAAUGUGUCAACUAUACUUCAAUUAAUUUUUUUAAUUAAAAAAAAUGCUAGAACUGGUGCAUUAGAGACCCUUGGGCAGGGAGUUUCCCAGAUGGUCAUUAAGUCAUCUACCCCCCACCUAGAAUCUCAAGACAACCUCAGGAAAGUACAAUUGAGAUGAACAAAGCUGUAAUCUUCCGAGAUGUGUUAUAUGGCUACCAAACAAAUAGGUGUUUAGAAAGAAGCAUAUUGUGAAAAGAGUCC